UACGUAUGGUGCAAGCGUUAUCCGGAUUUACUGGGCGUAAAGGGAGCGCAGGCGGCGCGCCAAGUCUGAUGUGAAACCCCGGGGCUCAACCCCGGGCAUGCAUUGGAAACUGGCGGGCUGGAGUGCCGGAGAGGUAAGCGGAAUUCCUAGUGUAGCGGUGAAAUGCGUAGAUAUUAGGAAGAACACCAGUGGCGAAGGCGGCUUACUGGACGGCAACUGACGCUGAGGCUCGAAAGCGUGGGGAGCAAACAGG
rnacentral:rRNA from 1 species